rnacentral:rRNA from 1 species
GACGAACGCUGGCGGCGGGCUUAACACAUGCAAGUCGAACGGAAAGGCCCGGCUUGUGUGCGGUGCUCGAGGGGCGAACGGGUGCGGAACACGUGAGUGUACUGCCCUUGACUCUGGGUUAGCGACAAGAAACUGGGGCUAAUACCAGAUAGGAACGCCUGCUGCAGGGGGGGGGUUGGAAAGAUUCGGCGGUUGAGGAUGGACUCGCGGCGUAGCGGCUGGUUGGUGGGGUCGUGGCUUACCAAGGCUUCGACGGGUAGCCGGCCUGAGAGGGUGACCGGCCACCUUGCCACUGACCUACGGCCCGCAGCACUGCGGGAGGCUGCAGUGUGGGAUAUUGCACGAUGGGCCGAAGCCUCGUGCAGCAACGCCGCGUGCGGGAUGGCGGCCUUCUGUUUGGAGGCCGUUUUCGCCUGUGCCGAAGCGUCAUUGCCGGUAAUGGGUAAAGAAGCACCGGCUAACUCCGUG